GAUGAACGCUAGCGGCAGGCCUAACACAUGCAAGUCGAGGGGCAGCACGAUAAAGCUUGCUUUAUUGGUGGCGACCGGCGCACGGGUGCGUAACGCGUAUGCAACCUACCUUGUACUGGGGGAUAGCCCGGAGAAAUUCGGAUUAACCCCCCAUAGUAUUAUUAGAUCGCAUGGUUUGAUAAUUAAAGGUUACGGUACAAGAUGGGCAUGCGUCCCAUUAGCUAGAUGGUGAGGUAACGGCUCACCAUGGCGACGAUGGGUAGGGGCCUGAGAGGGUGGUCCCCCACACUGGUACUGAGACACGGACCAGACUCCUACGGGAGGCAGCAGUGAGGAAUAUUGGUCAAUGGGCGCAAGCCUGAACCAGCCAUGCCGCGUGCAGGAAGACGGUCCUAUGGAUUGUAAACUGCUUUUAUUGGGAAUAAACCUCUUUACGUGUAGAGAGCUGAAGGUACCAAAUGAAUAAGCACCGGCUAAACUCCGUGCCAGCAGCCGCGGUAAU
rnacentral:rRNA from 1 species